UAUAAGACUGGGAUAACUUCGGGAAACCGGAGCUAAUACCGGAUAAUAUAUUGAACCGCAUGGUUCAAUAGUGAAAGACGGUUUUGCUGUCACUUAUAGAUGGAUCCGCGCCGCAUUAGCUAGUUGGUAAGGUAACGGCUUACCAAGGCAACGAUGCGUAGCCGACCUGAGAGGGUGAUCGGCCACACUGGAACUGAGACACGGUCCAGACUCCUACGGGAGGCAGCAGUAGGGAAUCUUCCGCAAUGGGCGAAAGCCUGACGGAGCAACGCCGCGUGAGUGAUGAAGGUCUUCGGAUCGUAAAACUCUGUUAUUAGGGAAGAACAAAUGUGUAAGUAACUAUGCACGUCUUGACGGUACCUAAUCAGAAAGCCACGGCUAACUACGUGCCAGCAGCCGCGGUAAUACGUAGGUGGCAAGCGUUAUCCGGAAUUAUUGGGCGUAAAGCGCGCGUAGGCGGUUUUUUAAGUCUGAUGUGAAAGCCCACGGCUCAACCGUGGAGGGUCAUUGGAAACUGGAAAACUUGAGUGCAGAAGAGGAAAGUGGAAUUCCAUGUGUAGCGGUGAAAUGCGCAGAGAUAUGGAGGAACACCAGUGGCGAAGGCGACUUUCUGGUCUGUAACUGACGCUGAUGUGCGAAAGCGUGGGGAUCAAACAGGAUUAGAUACCCUGGUAGUCCACGCCGUAAACGAUGAGUGCUAAGUGUUAGGGGGUUUCCGCCCCUUAGUGCUGCAGCUAACGCAUUAAGCACUCCGCCUGGGGAGUACGACCGCAAGGUUGAAACUCAAGAUCUUCUAGAAGAUCUCC
rnacentral:rRNA from 1 species